rnacentral:rRNA from 1 species
CGGAGGAUCCAAGCGUUAUCCGGAAUCAUUGGGUUUAAAGGGUCCGUAGGCGGUUUAGUAAGUCAGUGGUGAGAGCCCAUCGCUCAACGGUGGAACGGCCAUUGAUACUGCUAGACUUGAAUUAUUAGGAAGUAACUAGAAUAUGUAGUGUAGCGGUGAAAUGCUUAGAGAUUACAUGGAAUACCAAUUGCGAAGGCAGGUUACUACUAAUGGAUUGACGCUGAUGGACGAAAGCGUGGGUAGCGAACAGGAUUAGAUACCCUGGUAGUCCACGCCGUAAACGAUGGAUACUAGCUGUUGGGAGCAAUCUCAGUAGCUAAGCGAAAGUGAUAAGUAUCCCACCUGGGGAGUACGGGCGCAAGCCUG